AAAAUGAAAGCUAAGAUUGUGAUCCUGCUCUUUGCUCUCGUGAUCGCACUUCAAGUGUCGUCCUCCACGGGUUCAUCUGGGGACAGUAAAGUUGUUCCAGAGGAGAAAGGACUGGCCCCAAAAGGAGGUUUUGGGGCAGGUUCAAAACCCGGAAUCAUGAAGGAUCAACCUAAAGUUGUUCCAGAGGAGAAAGGACUGACCCCAAAAGGAGAUUUUGGGGCAGGUUCAAAACCCGGAAUCAUGAAGGAACAACCUAAAGUUGUUCCAGAGGAGGAAGUUGAACCACAAAUUUUGUUGCUCGGAAAAUGAAGGAUCAACCUAAAGAGGGCUAUCGUGUGGCAUGAGAAGAAAAAGAAACAGCUGUGCAAAGAAUGGAAACUAAAACUUUAUUAAUAUCCAAUACUGUGCCAUGUCAUAUGUUGUAUUGUACUAAAAUGACAAAUAAAACCACAAAACAAAUAAAGAAAAUACCUGUAGAAGGACUUUUUCUAGGAUCGUGUCUUUAUUUUGACAUCAUGUUAUCUCAUGUUUUAACUAUUAUUUAAUCCAAAAAAGUUAAUAUUUAGAAUUCAGAUCUAUAAAUACUACAACUGUGUGAAGGAAGUUUCUAUUAAAAAAUAUCUAACAGUGGAAAAAGUACCCAAAUCCUUAACUAAAAACCAAUGAAGCUGUGUAGAAAUACUUACUGUACAAGGCUUGAAAAUAGAUUCAUUAUAAAGAAAAGGUACUUAUUUAGACUUAUAUAGACAUGUGCAUCGAUACAUAUCCUACAACAUAUAAUCUGAACAAAUUGGUAGGAGAAAUCCGUACAGUCAGCAGUGCUGGGGGAGGACGUGCAGCAUGGACUCUCUGAAGAGCAGUGAGGGUAAGAGACCAGGCCCAGGUGUUUCCAUUCUGCUGAUUAGACUCACAGGUCUGCAGCCGGAGCACAGCCAGCUACAAAACAGUAAAAGACACAAGCACU
rnacentral:lncRNA from 1 species